UACGUAGGGGGCAAGCGUUGUCCGGAAUCAUUGGGCGUAAAGCGCGUGUAGGCGGUUCGAUAAGUCUGCUGUGAAAGUCCAGGGCUCAACCCUGGGAUGCCGGUGGAUACUGUCGAGCUAGGAGUACGGAAGAGGCGAGUGGAAUUCCCGGUGUAGCGGUGGAAAUGCGCAGAUAUCAGGAAGAACACCAAUGGCGAAGGCAGCUCUCGUGGGACGGUACUGACGCUGAGACGCGAAA
rnacentral:rRNA from 1 species